UCAAAAUGAGGAGGCUGUAACCUUUGCUUAAGCCGUUGUUGAUGUCUACCCUUCACCUUCUUUUCCCGCCUGGUACACGUCGCUCAACUCCUCCUGUCCUCUAAUAAGAAUGAAUGUGGACGACAUUUUUAGAAGACUUCAAAGACGGGUUUGCUUCAACCGCCUCAAUUAACUAUCUAAAGGUGAGUCACUCUCUCUUUUCCAACGCCAUUUCAUUUGGUUUUUAUGGUUUUACGGUCGUUUCCUAGUCUUCAUCAAUAACUCAAUUUCAUCUCCUUUUUUUUUUUGCAAUUUUCCCCUUAUAUUGGUUCUCGUAACAGCUUUAAUUUAAAGAAAUUGAAGGAAUUAGAAGUUGUUCAUCUAUCGAUUCUAUAAGAUGUAUGAGAUUUGAGAUUUGAUGUGGCUAGGUAGGAGUUUUUGUUGGUCCACCACAUGUUCGAUGAAAUGCUUAACAAAAAAUAUUGGGUUAAACCUGAUGACAAUGAAGCUAGUUUCAACUAUUAACUUAAGAUCUAUCCACAUGAUGGAAACUUGAAAGGUGAAUGUGGUGUGCAGGGGAAAACCUUUCACAACUCGACAUUUCCUACCUAUUAUCUUUCUUUGUUUAUUUCUUCAUAAUUUAUUUAAUGUAGCUCAAGUUAUAGGUUUUCAUUCAAAUUAGUUCUCAAGCUAUCAUCUGUGACUGAGUUUGAGUUUUUAUUUGAUUGAUUUUGUUGUAGAGUCAAGUCAAGGGUUGUUGGUGACAAUCAAUUAUAUGAGGGCAUUACCGCAUCAUCAUUAUAAUGAAAGAGUGAAGCAGGUCGUACUAGACAGGUAAAGCCACUAAAACACUCAUUAAAAUCAUUUUGUUGACUUGUAAAUUCUUUCAGAAUGUUUAUGCAUAUUAAAGAAAAGACUAAGAUUUAAGUUCGUUAUGUAUUGUAUUCUGUCAGAAUAAAAUUGGUUUCUAUUAUUGUUAUUUGUCUCGAUUCUUAUAGAAUGACAUCCUAAAUAAUGAAACAUUACAUUCUUUCAGAAUAAUAUACAUUGCAAGUUUAAGGAUGAUUGUUGAUGUUGGUUUGUAGAAAUUAUAGUUUUAGUGUAUUUGAAUGUAUAUCACAUUCUAUUAGAAUUUAUUGUUUUAUUCUAUUUAAUGCACUAGAAUUUUUAAUAUUUGAAAUUUGAUUAUGUUUUCCUUGUGAGUUUAGGUUUUGAAGAGGUUGUCAUUAAUGUGGAAUAUGAAGAAAACAUGGAGAAUGAUAUUUGUAUUCUAACAGAAUGUAUUCUGUCAGAAUCUAUUCUGCAAGAAUAGAUUAUUGUUUUUAUUAGAUUUUGAUAUUUUUUUUCUUUUUAACCAUUUUUACUUUUAAUCUUUAAGAAUAAAUGUAAUCCUUAAACCAUUAUUGGUCAUAAUUUUUUGAGAAUGAUUGUAAUAAUUGCUUAGUCUUUUUGUUUACGG
rnacentral:lncRNA from 1 species